rnacentral:rRNA from 1 species
GACGAACGCUGGCGGCGUGCUUAACACAUGCAAGUCGAACGGAAAGGCCCGGCUUUUGUGGGGUUCUCGAGUGGCGCACGGGUGAGUAUCACGUGAGUAGCCUGUCCUUGACUUUGGGAUAACUUCAGGAAACUGGGGCUAAUACCGGAUAGGAGCUCCUGCUGCAUGGUGGGGGUGGGAAAGUUUCGGCGGUUGGGGAUGGACGCGCGGCUCAUCAGCUUGUUGGUGGGGUGGUGGCGUACAAAGGCGUUGACGGGUAGCCGGCCUGAGAGGGUGACAGGCCACAUUGGGACUCAGGUACGGCCAAGACUCCUACGGGAGGAAGCGGCGGGAGAUAUUGCACGAUGGGCGGAAGCAUGAUGCAGCAACGCCGCGUGCGGGAUGACGGCCUUCGGGUUGUAACCCGCUUUCGCCUGUGACGAAGAGUGAGUGACGGUAAUGGGUAAAGAAGCAACGGCUAACUACGUG